UGAUGCUGGUGGAGCAGGAGCUGCGCAGGGAUCACUUGGGCGCCCACGACCCCCCCGAGGGCCGGCGGCGGCUGCUCGACGCUCAGCUGUCCGUCAGGUAGCGCGGGCCAGCCCUGCCAUUGUCACGGGACCCUCGGCCUCCGGUGACACGCCAGGAGAGGCAGCUUUCCGCCGUGGGUGCAGCAGACCCGGGUGUGAGCUGGGUCGGGGGGUCCCCGCGCGACCCCCGCCUCCGCCCCCGCCACCCCCGAUCACGGCCAACGGCGAGCUGCGCGGCCCGCUGCUGAGC